ACAGUUACCAAGUCACUAUGGUUUGGAGGACGUGGUAUUCGAAUCCUAGAAGAGCACUUUCAUCUUGGGAGUGCAGAUUCAUUUCUGGUUGAUGAUUUUUGAGCAUUGUUCUUGAACAUAUUCAUAAUGUACUCUUCAAUCCUGACUCCGCUGCAACUUCCACCAGCAGGCAGGCUAACGAACCCUGUGGAUACGAUGGAUGUGCGGCUGUCAGCUGAAACCAAUGUUUGAGGCAUCAUGUUUAGUUACAAUGAUAUUGUGCUCCUGAAUAAUGUGAAAUAUUCAUCGUUGCAUUUAUCCGGACAGCUUGGUUUCCUUGAAGAUGGGUAUGAAAAUCAGGAACUAUCGGUGAUUAUCCUUUCGCACUUUACAAGCUAUCAGCUCAAUACCUUCGUAACUUCAGAACAGAAAGCCACAAGAUCUUGUCCACAUUGCUGUUCAGGGGCAUUGGCGACUUUCAUGAAGUGGGCCGAGCAUGGCGGCCUGUGAAUUUUCAUACUGCCAGGCUCCACCAGUACCUACAACUUUUUCAGACAGCAGUAAUUCUUGCUUCGUAUAGGCAUACCACCGGAUCGAUCCUCAUGAGAACCAACCCACCCUCCAUCAGCAGGUAGCAAUGGCUCUACCAAAAAGUUCACUAGAUUUAUGACUUUGCUAACAAUGAGCCCAAUUCGAACUUAUCCCAGGCAAUAACUACGUAGUUUCCAUCGUAAAUUUCAGCUUCAAAACCUUUCCAGAGGUUUUUGAAGUGAUUGGGAAUCCAGGCGAUGAAGAAACUCUGGGUGCUCCCCACCAGAAAGAGACCGAACCGAGCGAGCGAAACUUGCAGAGUUCUUCGUUUCGUGAGGAACGACUACGAAGUCAUGGCACUGUGUGUGUGUGUCAUUUAUUGCGCUUCAGUUACCAUACCAUGAUUUUGUGAUAUGGACCCUUAUCAUAGGAUUUCAUGUAUUAUGCCAAUCGAUUCAUAGCAGCAUAAGCCCUGCUCCCUGUGAGAUUAGGGAAAGCCACUGGAAGAGAGACAGAUGCCCUGAUAGAGCAUCCUCGUGGUAGUCCGUAUUAAACGGUUACUACUGAUGAUGGGGAACUAGUGGGGGUCACUGUGUGGGUCAUUUCGGCCACCUCUUAUUGAAAUUUUAUUUCCAUAAGCUGUUUCAUCUGUAGAAUUUUGCAGACUCCGGCCAGGUCUGUCUGCUGUUUUACUGGGGGAUUCGCCUAUGAAGGUGAAGGGACGUAAAUAAAGCGAGAACACUGUCUCAGGGCAUCUGUGAUUCUUUAUGUUACCCA